rnacentral:rRNA from 1 species
ACGAACGCUGGCGGCUGCUUAACACAUGCAAGUCGAACGGAGUGGCGAACGGGUGAGUAACGCGUGAGCAACCUGCCUAUGACAGUGGGAUAGCCUAGGGAAACCGGGAUUAAUACCGCAUCGUAAUAGAUGGGCUCGCGUCUGAUUAGCUAGUUGGUGAGAUAACAGCCCACCAAGGCGACGAUCAGUAGCCGGUCUGGGAGGAUGAACGGCCACUUUGGAACGGAGACACGGUCCAAACGCCUACGCGGGGCAGCAGUGGGGAAUAUUGCACAAUGGGGGAAAUGCUGAUGCAGCGACGCCGCGUGAACGAAGAAGGUAUUCGUAUCGUAAAGUUCUGUCCUAUGGGAAGCAGUACCAUAGAAGAAAGCUCCGGCUAAAUACGUGCCAGCAGCCGCGGUAAUAC